rnacentral:rRNA from 1 species
UUCUCACUUUGACUUAGAGUCAACUGAAGGGCCGUUGAAGACUACAACGUUGAUAGGCGAGAUGUGGAAGUGCUGUGAGGCAUUAAGCUAACUCGUACUAAUUACCCGUGAGGCUUAACCAUACAACGCCAAAGUGGUUU